rnacentral:rRNA from 1 species
CCUACGGGUGGCAGCAGUGAGGAAUAUUGGUCAAUGGACGAGAGUCUGAACCAGCCAAGUAGCGUGAAGGAUGACUGCCCUAUGGGUUGUAAACUUCUUUUAUAUGGGAAUAAAACGUUCCACGUGUGGGAUUUUGUAUGUACCAUAUGAAUAAGGAUCGGCUAACUCCGUGCCAGCAGCCGCGGUAAUACGGAGGAUCCGAGCGUGAUCCGGAUUUAUUGGGUUUAAAGGGAGCGUAGGUGGAUUGUUAAGUCAGUUGUGAAAGUUUGCGGCUCAACCGUAAAAUUGCAGUUGAAACUGGCAGUCUUGAGUACAGUAGAGGUGGGCGGAAUUCGUGGUGUAGCGGUGAAAUGCUUAGAGAUCACGAAGAACUCCGAUUGCGAAGGCAGCUCACUGGACUGCAACUGACACUGAGGCUCGAAAGUGUGGGUAGCAAACAGGAUUAGAUACCCCUGUAGUC